rnacentral:rRNA from 1 species
GAUGAACGCUGGCGGCGUGCCUAAUACAUGCAAGUCGAGCGAACGGACGAGAAGCUUGCUUCUCUGAUGUUAGCGGCGGACGGGUGAGUAACACGUGGAUAACCUACCUAUAAGACUGGGAUAACUUCGGGAAACCGGAGCUAAUACCGGAUAAUAUUUUGAACCGCAUGGUUCAAAAGUGAAAGACGGUCUUGCUGUCACUUAUAGAUGGAUCCGCGCUGCAUUAGCUAGUUGGUAAGGUAACGGCUUACCAAGGCAACGAUGCAUAGCCGACCUGAGAGGUUGAUCGGCCACACUGGACCUGAGACACGGUCCAGACUCCUACGGGAGGCAGCAGUAGGGAAUCUUCCGCAAUGGGCGAAAGCCUGACGGAGCAACGCCGCGUGAGUGAUGAAGGUCUUCGGAUCGUAAAACUCUGUUAUUAGGGAAGAACAUAUGUGUAAGUAACUGUGCACAUCUUGACGGUACCUAAUCAGAAAGCCACGGCUAACUACGUG